GGCCCGACAGAGUUUGAUCCUGGCUCAGAGCGAACGCUGGCGGCAGGCUUAACACAUGCAAGUCGAGCGGGCACCACAAGGUGUCAGCGGCAGACGGGAGAGUAACACGUGGGAACGUGCCCUUUGGUUCGGAACAACUCCGGGAAACUGGAGCUAAUACCGGAUAAGCCCUUACGGGGAAAGAUUUAUCGCCAAAGGAGCGGCCCGCGUCGGAUUAGCUAGUUGGUGAGGUAAUGGCUCACCAAGGCGACGAUCCGUAGCUGGUCUGAGAGGAUGACCAGCCUCACUGGGACUGAGACACGGCCCAGACUCCUACGGGAGGCAGCAGUGGGGAAUAUUGGACAAUGGGCGCAAGCCUGAUCCAGCCAUGCCGCGUGGAUGAUGAAGGCCUUAGGGUUGUAAAGUCCUUUUAACGGGGAAGAUAAUGACGGUACCCGUAGAAUAAGCCCCGGCUAACUUCGUGCCAGCAGCCGCGGUAAUA
rnacentral:rRNA from 1 species